rnacentral:rRNA from 1 species
UACGGAGGGGGCUAGCGUUGUCCGAAGUUACUGGGCGUAAAGCGCGCGUAGGCGGGUUGGUAAGUCCGCUGUGAAAGCCCGGAGCUCAACUCCGGAGGGUCGGUGGAUACUGCCAGUCUUGAAGGUGCUAGGGGGAGAUGGAAUUACCGGUGUAGCGGUGAAAUGCGUAGAUAUCGGUAGGAACACCAGUGGCGAAGGCGACUACCUGGCCUGUUCUUGACGCUGAGGCGCGAAAGCUAGGGGAGCAAACGGG